rnacentral:lncRNA from 1 species
UAUGUUACCUUAAGAAGAGAUUUGAAACCCCCAAAGUUUGAUUAUAAUUCCUUCUUCUACAAGUGAAAUCAUAACUCCUCUUCACGUUUCCAUCUUCCUUCUCAACAUGCAAAAACUCUAAACUUCUUCUCCUAUAUUGAAACCAUUUCUUUCAUUUUCUUCUUUCUCAUAUUUUAUAGGUGUGAGGAUAUUUUCUAUGAUGAGAUGAUGAAAUGAUGGAGCUUGAGAAAGACAUGCAAUGGAGUUAGUGUGUUCUUACUGUUUUAUUUUUCUUCUAUCUUCUUCUUUCCUCCUUUCCCU